rnacentral:misc_RNA from 1 species
AGAAGGGUAAGGAAAUCUCUGUUACAACUUACAAUAGCUUUUUCCUUGUGUAAUUUUUCACCAAGUAAACAGUGAAGAAACAUUGAAUUGUUGAGAGCAGUCUGUCUGUGGAACACUGGAACUGCUAAUAACGUCUAGUAGGGGAUGAAAUUUAUUAAUACCUGUAAUGAACUGAUGUCAAUCCCUUUUGGUGUGUGGACACAGUUGCUGGAUGAGAGGCAAAGUUU